rnacentral:rRNA from 1 species
AUGAACGCUAGCUACAGGCUUAACACAUGCAAGUCGAGGGGCAGCAUGGUCUUAGCUUGCUAAGACUGAUGGCGACCGGCGCACGGGUGAGUAACACGUAUCCAACCUGCCGUCUACUCUUGGACAGCCUUCUGAAAGGAAGAUUAAUACAAGAUGGCAUCAUGAGUCCGCAUGUUCACAUGAUUAAAGGUAUUCCGGUAGACGAUGGGGAUGCGUUCCAUUAGAUAGUAGGCGGGGUAACGGCCCACCUAGUCUUCGAUGGAUAGGGGUUCUGAGAGGAAGGUCCCCCACAUUGGAACUGAGACACGGUCCAAACUCCUACGGGAGGCAGCAGUGAGGAAUAUUGGUCAAUGGGCGAGAGCCUGAACCAGCCAAGUAGCGUGAAGGAUGACUGCCCUAUGGGUUGUAAACUUCUUUUAUAAAGGAAUAAAGUCGGGUAUGCAUACCCGUUUGCAUGUACUUUAUGAAUAAGGAUCGGCUAACUCCGUG